UACGUAGGGUGCGAGCGUUAAUCGGAAUUACUGGGCGUAAAGCGUGCGCAGGCGGUUCGUUAUGUCCGAUGUGAAAGCCCCGAGCUCAACUUGGGAAUGGCAUUGGAAACUGGCGGGCUGGAGUGUGGCAGAGGGGGGUGGAAUUCCACGUGUAGCAGUGAAAUGCGUAGAGAUGGUGGAGGAACACCGAUGGCGAAGGCAGCCCCCUGGGCCAACACGUGACGCUCAGGCACGAAAGCGUGGGGAGCGAAACAGG
rnacentral:rRNA from 1 species